GACGUAGGGCGCGAGCGUUGUCCGGAUUUAUUGGGCGUGAAGAGCUCGUAGGCGGCUUGUCGCGUCGUCCGUGAAAACCCACAGCUCAACUGUGGGCUUGCGGUCGAUACGGGCAGGCUAGAGUUCGGUAGGGGAGACUGGAAUUCCUGGUGUAGCGGUGAAAUGCGCAGAUAUCAGGAGGAACACCGGUGGCGAAGGCGGGUCUCUGGGCCGAUACUGACGCUGAGGAGCGAAAGCGUGGGGAGCGAACAGG
rnacentral:rRNA from 1 species